UCUAGAGGCUUCGUCAAUGGGGGCAACCCUGAACGAGCGACGCCGCGUGUGGGAUUGAAGGCCUUCGGGUCGUAAACCACUGUCGAGUGGGAAGAAUGCCCUGAUGGCGAAUCAGGGAGCGACGGUACCACUAUAGGAAGCCCCGGCUAACUCCGUGCCAGCAGCCGCGGUAAUACGGAGGGGGCAAGCGUUGUUCGGAUUUACUGGGCGUAAAGGGUGUGUAGGCGGCUGGACAAGUCUGGCGUGAAAUCUUCACCGCUCAACGGGAAGGGGUCGCUGGAAACUGUUCAGCUUGAGUAUGGUAGAGGCAAGCGGAAUUCCUGGUGUAGCGGUGGAAUGUGUAGAUAUCAGGAAGAACACCGGUGGCGAAGGCGGCUUGCUGGGCCAUCACUGACGCUGAGACACGAAAGCGUGGGGAGCAAACGG
rnacentral:rRNA from 1 species